UGGGAGUGCGAAUCUCGAAAGCCUGUCUCAGUUCGGAUUGGAGGCUGAAACCCGCCCUCCAUGAAGCUGGAUUCGCUAGUAAUCGCGCAUCAGCCAUGGCGCGGUGAAUACGUUCCCGGGCCUUGUACACGCCGCCCGUCACACCAUGGGAGCCGGGAAUGCCCGAAGUCAGUGGCCCAACCGAAAGGGGGGAGCUGCCGAAGGCAGGCCUGGUGACUGGGGUGAAGUCGUAACAAGGUAUC
rnacentral:rRNA from 1 species